UCCACACUUUUUAGAGCGAGGUACCUUCUUUUUCCUCUUGGGCGUCCCAUACAGAGCGCAAUAAUAGAAAGAACGCCCAGAUGGUUCUCCCAACAAGUCCACUUCACGAACUCCCUUUCGAUGUAGUUGCUUCAACAGAGUAUUGUGCGAUACUCCUCUCUUUCUUCUUUCUGCUUCUAGAUCAAUUUCUUCUUCGAUGUCCGUCAUACCAUCAUCCUCUUCACCAUUGUAGGCCCCUCUAGAAGUUUGGCCUUAUUCACAUUCCAGCACACAUGCUUCUUCCUCGUUAUCCUCCUUCUCUUCUUCUUCUUUCUCUUUGUUCUUAAACUCAUUGGCUAAUAAAUAGUUAUUAGCCAUGACAGGAGGUAACGUACUGAACUGAAUAGUGAGGGGCUGAUCUGGAUCUUCUCCAUCCCUUCUGCCUCGCUCAAACUUCGAUCUCCCAGAAGAACUCUCUGGCAAUUUUUCCAUCGAUUCACUUGUACUGAUCUCCUUACUGUCUUCGAGAACAUUUUGAUUGGCCACCUCGAGUAAUUUAGGCACCUUAGGAUGUGGCACUCCCUAUUGUUGCUUCAUUAUUUAUCCAUAAUUCCGUUGAAAACGCCUUUGUUGGGUUCUAGUCAUCUCGUUGAAGGGUAUCACCCUUCUUGCAUUAUACUGGAACGAAUGCCAUACAUUUGG
rnacentral:lncRNA from 1 species